CUUGUCAAUUAACCAACAUAAAAAAUAAAUAAUAAUAAUAAAAAAAUUAAUGUCUCUCUACUUCAGAUUAGAUUUCGUACCCAACUCCGCUUUUAUUUUCCAUGAUCGGGAUCAUUUUAUUUUGUUGGAUCUGAGUUUGUGAGUCUUUUGAACUAUUCAUAACUAUUCAUUGUUAUAAUUAAUAAUAUUAAUUUUUAAUUGAUUUGUUCAUGAAUCCUACUACACCGGUAAAAUCAAUAGUGAAAUUCGUAAAUCUAAGUUAUGUCCACAUAAAACUUCAUUAAACUUACAACCCACUGUUUGAAAAGCGCUGUAUAGUGUCAAGUUUCAGUGACAUGUUACAGCGCACACAACUGUGAGUGUCAUAAUCAUGUUCAUCUUCAUAAAACCGACUGCACAAAGAACACCGUUUCCUGUGGUCUGAGGUGUUACUUCCUAAUUCACCCAUUGUGUGAGUCUCGUCUGUUCUCUCACACUCACUGUAAUGGAUCGUUCAUCUUCAUAGUGUUUCAGCUCCUGAUGGAGGUUCAGUCUUACAAUUCAUUUCCGAAACCCAUCAUCAGUGUUAGUGGAGAUGAUGACCAGCUCUUCAUAUCAUGUGAAAUACCACUUUCAGUCAGAGAUGAUUUCAACUGUAGUUUCUACACUGAGGAUGAUGUUCUUCUGUGUCAACGUGUCUCUCAGUGGAGUCAGUCUGGAAAGAAUCUUUGUAUGUUUCUCAGUAGAGUCAGUCUGGAAAGAAUCUCUGUAUGUUUUAUGUAAGUCGUAGUGAACUCUUCACACGAUCAGUGAACAGCAGACAACUGAUCUGUGUUUAUUCACUCAAAACUGAACCUGAGAUCAGAUCACCACACAGUGACACAUACACCUUCAGAGACACAUACACCUUCAGAGACACAGUCACCAUCAGAGGUGAGUUAUUAUUAUUAUCAUCUUUAAAACAUGAGCACAUUUGAUGAUUAGAGACACCUGUAUAAUUAUUUAGACAGUAUGAUUUAUUAUGUAGGCAAGUAGUAUCAAAGUACUUUUAAGGCAAGUCAUGUCACUCUGCGGCCAUCUUUGAACGCCUCUCGAGCAUGCAAGUGAAGCUCCUAUCUCUGUGAAUGGGGAAACAUCAAAUUCUCCAAAACUCACCAAGCUUAUGAUUAAAUUUAAUAUUUGAAAUCACCAAUGCAAUCUGACAACACCUGUCUCAUAAAUUUAUAUUAUUCAUAUAGCAUUAAAAAGCUUAUUUUUCAGGCUACACCAGCCAUAUGCGCAGUCCUUAGCACAUGUCUCCAGAAUGCUGACAGUUUCUAUAGCAACAAGACUUUUAACAGCAGCUGCAGUGACACAAUAACUGUUCUGAUUAGCGAUUGGCUCUUUUAAAAUUUAAAAUUCUUUUUAAAUGUCUUUAUCAUCACUUUUGAUCAAUUUAAAGCAUUCUUGCUAAAUAAAAGCAUUAAUUUCUAUAAUUUUUUUUCCA
ensembl:lncRNA